UUCACUUAUUUUAUUAGCUUAUUUUUCUUUAAGAACUUUUAUUUCCUACUUGUUUUAUCACUGUUUUUUUUUAAGCUAAAAAUUAACCCAGCAAAUUACACCAAUACGUAAGUAUACAGAUAGCACGUAAAGAUUAAAAGAGUGACUAUAGACUUUUAAUACAGCAGAGAGGUAAGAAUGAUAAUAUUUCUUAUUAAAUUGAAGAGGUAAUAUUUAAUAUAUCCUUCAAAAUUUUAAAAUUAUCUUAUUAUUU
rnacentral:lncRNA from 1 species